UCUGAAAGAAGAGAAGUUAAACGAAAUUAAUAGACUUUGGAUGUAAAGUGCAUAAAAUAUGUUAAAAUAUACGAUCUUGUGGACAUAUGUUUAACGACUUAAAGUUUAAAAUCAUCAACUUUUUUUUCGAAAAAUAUACGAAUCUAAAAGUUAGGUUAGAAUUUUAUCUCGAAACAUUCUUUCGUGAAAAAUUUAUCGAUAAAUAGACGAUUUAUCGGAUACGAUCGUCCCGAUAUAUUAUUGCGAGGAAUAUCGAGAUUCGAAAAGCGAGAUCGAAUAGCAUCGAAUAAAAGAAGAGGACGAGAGGCACGAUAUUAAAAAGAGUAAAUCGUUCAAAUAACCAGAAUCAUUAGAAAAGUUCGAAGGAUGAAAAUUAUUGGGGAUUGAGAAGGAUUGGAGAAGUCGUAAAAAUUUUAAGAACACGUGUAUCUAAAUUGAAAUGAGCGAGAAGAAAUGAGGACGAGGAAGGAGCGAUCCAAUUCCGAUGAGAACAAUAAAUACGACCUGGUGAACCAGAGACACGGUUUCCCACAAAACCUUCUGUCUCUCGACGUAAGGUCGGUUCGCACGCGAUAAUCGAUCGUACCUGUCACCACCGACCCUGGCUGAAGAACGAGCCGCGACUUACACAUUGAAAACUCGAAUAUCGAUUUACCUUUCGUUUAAGUUAUAUUGAAAUUGCAAUCGUUAGAAGAUAAUGACGAUAAAUAAUUAUUUAGCAACAAACGAGUACAAUAUGUUUAUAUUAUAUUAAAAAAUAAUCAGACUCUUUUGUAUUAAAUUGAUGAUAAUUUUGUACGUUUCUUUUAAUUCCAAUAAUUUGUUUAUACAUUUACACAUACAUCAUUUUUAAAUAAUUUUUUCAUAAAUCUAAUAUUUUUAAUAAUAUCGUCAAUAUUAUCUUCCAUUGUAAUUUCAAUCCAACCCGAAAUUAAUACAAAUCCAGGAAGCCAAACGUUUUUAUUAAAACUCAAAUUUAAUCCAAGGAUUUGAAUAAACGUAACCAAAUAUUUUUCUUAAAUUAUCCCCAAUAUUAAUCAAACGAGUUUCAUUAUUAUAAAACAAAAUUGUACGAACAUCGUGACCAAUAAACUCGCCAAAUAUUGCACAA